rfam:Rhizobium sp. Leaf306 contig_1, whole genome shotgun sequence.
ACAAAAGAGGCAAGGAGUUCAAAUUCUUGCCAGUUCGCGGUCAAGUCUUGGGAGGAUCAGAUCUCUGGCGCGCUCGUCGCAGCCCCGGUAACGGAAUGAGUAUCACGCGAAACUGAAAAACAAGGCUUAACCGCCUUGUUUUUUUUU